rnacentral:rRNA from 1 species
CCUACGGGAGGCAGCAGUGAGGAAUAUUGGUCAAUGGCCGGGAGGCUGAACCAGCCAAGUCGCGUGAGGGAAGACGGCCCUACGGGUUGUAAACCUCUUUUGUCAGGGAGCAAGGUGCAGGUCGGGACCUGCUGUGAGCGUACCUGAAGAAAAAGCAUCGGCUAACUCCGUGCCAGCAGCCGCGGUAAUACGGAGGAUGCGAGCGUUAUCCGGAUUUAUUGGGUUUAAAGGGUGCGCAGGCGGAGGCACAAGUCAGCGGUAAAAUCGCGGGGCUCAACCCCGCUCCGCCGUUGAAACUGUGGCCCUUGAGUGCGCGAAGGGUAGGCGGAAUGCGUGGUGUAGCGGUGAAAUGCAUAGAUAUCACGCAGAACUCCGAUCGCGAAGGCAGCCUACCGGCGCGCAACUGACGCUCAUGCACGAAAGCGUGGGUAUCGAACAGGAUUAGAUACCCUGGUAGUC